UCCCCUUAGACCGACCCUGAAGCUUCUCUUGUUAUUCUCAUGUCUCUUUGUGUAGAAUAGGAACAAACAGUCACUUGUGUCUCUUGCCUGCAUGCAGCAAUCCAUCCAUUUCACAAUGUGAAUUCUUAAUAUUCUCUUCGAUGAAUUGGAGGAAGUAGAGAAGAAAAGGGAAAAAGUGAUGGCCGGAGGAGGUGACAGCGACGGAGAAUCCUUAGAUUAUACACCUACUUGGAUAAUCGCACUUGUUUGUAUUAGCAGGAACAUUCCUUGGAAAGACAAGGACGAAAAUGAAAGAAGCCAGUCUAGUUGCACACAAAAGGAAUCCCAGUCCUUUACAAGCAAUCAAUUCAAUGGAAGGCCUUCCAAGACAGCCAACAUCCAUUUAGCCUAGAAUCAAUCAAGCCAGCCAAAGUGUUUUCCCAAUUCUGUCCAGCAAUUACAACAAUCAAGGAAUUCACCAGUCAUUUACAUACCUGAUUUAGAAUAGAUUUUGUUUCUGUUAGGAAAUGCCAAAAAUAAAUAAAAGAUUGUAAUAUCUCUACAGCACAUGGAACCAGUAUAAAUAGAAACAAUUGUACAGUCUCCAGCACGUUGAGCUGAGACACUUAAACCA